CACUCCCCUAGAAGUGUUGCAGAUGUGGCUGCUGUGUCACAUUUUCUAUCAUUAGGUGGCGUACACU